AGCCUUUAGCUCACCAAGUAUUAAAGGUCCUGCCUGCCCAGUGAAACUUUUAACGGCCGCGGUAUCCUAACCGUGCAAAGGUAGCGUAGUCACUUGUCUUCUAAAUAAAGACUCGUAUGAACGGCUAAAUGAGGACCUAACUGUCUCUUACGACCAAUUAAUGAAACUGAUCUUUCAGUCCAAAAGCUGAAAUAUAAACAUAAGACGAGAAGACCCUGUGGAGCUUUAACCAAGAUACUAUACCCACCACAUAUAACUACACAGUAAUAGUACCUCGUUUAAGUUGGGGCAACUAUGGAAAAAGAAAAACUUCCACAUUACCCUAGGGCAAACCCCCCCCACCCCCAGACCCACCUGUCAAACACUAAGCACACGACCCAGUACCACUGAUCAAUGAACCAAGUUACCCCAGGGAUAACAGCGCAAUCCCCUUUCAGAGUCCCUAUCGCCAAGGGGGCUUACGACCUCGAUGUUGGAUCAGGACACCCAAAUAGUGCAGCAGCUAUUAAUGGUUCGUUUGUUCAACGAUUAACAGUCCU
rnacentral:rRNA from 1 species